GACGAACGCUGGCGGCGUGCUUAACACAUGCAAGUCGAACGGAAAGGCCCUGCUUUUGUGGGGUGCUCGAGUGGCGAACGGGUGAGUAACACGUGAGUAACCCGCCCUUGACCUUGGGAUAACUUCAGGAAACUGGGGCUAAUACCGGAUAGGAGCUCCUGCUGCAUGGUGGGGGUUGGAAAGUUUCGGCGGUUGGGGAUGGACUCGCGGCUUAUCAGCUUGUUGGUGGGGUAGUGGCUUACCAAGGCUUUGACGGGUAGCCGGCCUGAGAGGGUGACCGGCCACAUUGGGACUGAGAUACGGCCCAGACUCCUACGGGAGGCAGCAGUGGGGAAUAUUGCACAAUGGGCGGAAGCCUGAUGCAGCAACGCCGCGUGCGGGAUGACGGCCUUCGGGUUGUAAACCGCUUUCGCCUGUGACGAAGCGUGAGUGACGGUAAUGGGUAAAGAAGCACCGGCUAACUACGUG
rnacentral:rRNA from 1 species